rnacentral:tRNA from 15 species
GCGGGAUUAGUUAAAUGGUAUAAUAGCGGUUUUCCAAACCGCGGUCGGGAGUUCGAUUCUCCCAUCCCGCACC